UUAGCUGAUCACCAUAUAGGGGUCGGGAAGGAAAUUUUCCUCGGGCAAGAUUGCCAGAGCCCUGGAGCUUUUUCGCCUUCCUUUGCA